AAGUCUACGUUGUCGUAUUAGUUUACAAAUUGCGAAAAACCAAAUAAAAUUUGAAUUUCGCGGGCAGACCCGUCGCUUGUCCCUUCAUAAAAAGUGAGUAUUUAGAUAGAUUGAGCAUUAAUUUGGCCUGGACGUUACGCAGUAAGCUAGCUGGUACGCGCGAAGGAGCCAAGGAGCCGUAAGCAUAAAAUAUUGAAUUCACAACAAAUGUGACUAGAUAUAAGGUUCUCGUGCAUUCGCUGCAGUGUCGCCCUCGUGCGGCGCAUCGCGACAAAUAAACGCAAUAAACAAUCCGAUCAAUAUUGCACGACAUUGGCAAACCAUUCAUAUACAAAACCCGAGAUAUACGAGUACAAGCCUCAACUCUAAUAAAAAAGUAUCUGCUGAAAUUCCAGCACUUAUUUUAUAAUUUCUAAAUAAAAUAAAAUCACUGCUUAUGGCUACGUAAUUAUUAAUUACGUACUUAAAAAUUUCGCAGUUACUUUUUUAUAAUUCUUUAGCACACUGAGAUGUAGGACAUUCUUAUGGAACUGUGUAUAUUUGAGGUUUUGUAUGUAAAGCAGCAGUUUCUAAAAUACAUUAUUCGUAAAAGCAGAUAAAUAAAACUCGUGUGUAACUUGCAGUGAGCGCGGGAAAGUGCAGUUGUGUGAUCCGGUCACGUGAGGGCUGUGAGGACCUGCGGAGAGGAGGGGAGAGGUUUAGGAGUUAGGAGGGAACAGAAGUGGAUACAAAUCCACAAUGUGACCACCCCAGCAUCAAACUUUGACAGUAAUAGAUCGUUGUUUCUAAGUCACCCACUGCGAAAGUUCAACAUACACAGUUUUAGCCAACAAAAACAACCGCGAAAGUAAACUUUGGUGCUGAGGGUGGUAGGUAGUAGGAAUGUGAGGCAAGAUGAUACAACAGUGAUGUGUUGAAAAGCUACACGUAAAUAGUUUGCGUGAACAAAACGCUUUCGAUACAGUCAGCGUUAACGAUUCAAUGAUUACAUAUUUUGGGAACUUCAGUCCGCAAUAACGUAGACUAAACUGUAGCAAACGCAUAGUGUAAGAUAAAUAGAAUGCUGCGUGCUGCUUAAGGCCGCAAAAUCAAUGUUUCAAUUCGUAGGAUGCAUCAUCGCAUGUUGUUGUUCCGGCGUAAAAUACUUCAAAACAUAUUAUAUUGGUGGCACAGUUACACCCAAUUUUAGCCUAGAGUAAGGCAAGUUUCACAUCUACUCCGAUAGUUGUACACCGAUCCACGGUCGACCUGCAUUGUAACCGACACCUAAUGUUCCAACGUAACGUAAAACACUAAAUAACAAUACAAAUUAAAAUUACAGCAACAAAAUAAUUUUAUAUAAAAAAAAUUACACUCGUUUGACUACAAUAAGUUUUUCUAUAACUUUGUAUAUCUAUGUUUAGUAUAAUAUAAAGUAAAUAAUUAUGUAUGUCUUAAAUUUAAGUAUAAUAUUAUUAUGUAAGUUAAUGUUUGAUGAAAGAUGACGAGUCGUGGGCUGCCCUCUAAAUGUAAGUUUGUACUUCACAAAUGCCAGCAUUUGUUUUAACGCGGGAUAUACGAGGUCUGGUGGAAAAGCGGGUGUUGUCCGAAAGAUGCAUCAUUAUAAAAACAGUUUUUACAAUGGGCCCAAACCUUGAAUUGUGAAAAAAAAUCUGGUCCAUACACUCACGGAUGAAAUCAGUGACUAGGUAAUAUAAUUAAUCAAUGUAUGUCUCAUCUGCCUAUGAGUUACUUAGAAACGUUGUUAUUUGUCUAAAAACCACACAAUUUUUGACAAAUAACAACAUUGCAAAGUAAUUCAUCGACAGGUUAUAGAUAGAUGAAUUAUUAUGAAUUUCGGUUA